rnacentral:rRNA from 1 species
GUUAAAAAGCUCGUAGUUGAAUUUCGGGAUCAAUACGUCGGUCGUGCUUUCGGGUACGUACUGGCGUCAUUGGUUUCUCCUUUCUGACGAACCAUGAUGUCAUUAAUUUGGUGUUAUGGGAAUUUGGACUGUUACUUUGAAAAAAUUAGAGUGUUUAAAGCAAGCUAACGCUUGAAUACAUUAGCAUGGAAUAAUGAAAUAGGACGUUCGAUCCUAUUUUGUUGGUUUCUAGGAUUGACGUAAUGAUUAAUAGGGAUAGUUGGGGGCAUUAGUAUUCAAUUGUCAGAGGUGAAAUUCUUGGAUUUAUUGAAGACUAACUAC